rnacentral:lncRNA from 1 species
UUUUUUUUUUUUUUUUUUAGUGUAAGCAGAAGGACUCGAACUCGAGACCUCUCACUUACACUCCCUCCCCCGUACCACCCAACCCAACCCAACCCUCCAUGGUUAAACAUAUACCAAAACACACAUGUCAAGUGGUCAAUUACAGAUGACAAUUGUUAGUGAAAGUAGUGUUAAAACAACAAAUCAAUCAAAGAAUACCAAGUCAGUUUAAGUUGUCCACGUGACAUUUUUUGGUGAGGGUAGUCUUAAAUUUUUAGAUAGUAGUUGGAUAUAUGUAUGUAUGUAUUAGUGGUUACGCUAAUACUUUGGAGAGUUCAUGUGGCUGACACAUGCUCAUUUGCUCCCAUAUUUAAUGAGGAUUAUGGAGUUCCACUGCCUUAUAUUUGUAAUCAUGCCAUUGUGCCCUAUUGACAAUUUGUUGGUUUUGGUUUGGUUACUUUGACCGGAUAGUUUAAUUUUAAUGAAUAAUUACAAUUUAUUUCUUAACAUAUAUUUUAAUUUUUAGUUUACCCCCUAGCCCUUUUUUAUUGUCAACUACCCUUCUAUUAUGUUGAAAUUUGUUUUUCUUUUUACUUAUCUCUUUUCAUUUCUAUUUAAAUUAUUUUUCUUUUUUCAAAUUCCUAUUUUUGAGCUAAUAAAAGAAUUUCUCUAUCCAGUAGUUUUAUUUUCUAAAAUUUGUAUUGGCCCAAAGAAUGAAAUUCUAAUUGAUUUUAUGUUCUACUAUUUUAUACACACACACACACACAUAUGUUCUACUAUUGUAUAUGUAUGUAUGUAUGUGUGUGUGUGCGCCUAUAUAUAUAUUUGUAUAGUAUCUAUAUUAGUUUGUCUCUCUUCCAUAUAAUUUGUCAAUUACAAAAAAUUACAUGCUAAUUAGUUUCAUCAAUUUUUUCAAUCUAAGAAAUUAAAGGCAAAAAUGUUUAUUACAUAUCCUUAUAAUUAUACAAUUCAAAAUAGGUUACUCAUAUUUUUGCAAUCACCUUCACAUGUGAUUAAUUUAACAUCCUUUUAUUCUCUUUUCCUCAAAUAGAUUUUUGCUUGUCAUAAUAUUUUCUUUACCAUUUAUCCUAAAGUAAUUAAAUAUUAGUAUAUUCCCUGAUAAAACUACUUCUCUCAUGUGAUACUAUACCACCAUAAUUGGAGUGCUCAAAAUUGCACCAUUGGUAAUGAUUAUUUGGGAAAAGAAAGAAGAAAAUAGAAAAAAAUAAAAACCUAGCAUGAUAGAGUAGUUUUAUCCCUCAGGUGGUGAAGUGACAAAAAAUAAAGAUUAGGGAGUAAGUGUGAAAUCAGGUUACAUCUUAAGGAUGAAUUGUAAUUACCCCUAAUUUCAAUUAUCUAACUAAAUGUAGAGCAAAAGCUCUUGAUGGUUUGUAUGAUUGACAAGUGUCCAUUCCUUCUUCAAAUUUAAUGACAGUUUGGUGUUCAAUAGUUUUUUAUUAGCAACUUUACCAUUGUCCUCAAAUGACAAUUACUUGAUCUUUAACUUGGUUUUUUUGGACAAGUUUUUCUAUAUGGAUAUUUUUAGUUAGUUUAGGACCCACACAUGGUUAAGUCAUAUAUGUGUAGGUGGAAAAAAAAAUUUAGAGCAUACUUACAACAAACUUAAGCAGUUUAACCCUUUUUGUAUUGGUUUAAAGCUCAAUCAAUCUCUCAAAUUUAAGAUCAAUUUAGUAUUAGAUUUUAAAUAUUUUGGUUUUUGGUGUGAAUACAUAGUAGAAAUUUAUUAGUGUGAAUACAUUGUAGUAGGCAAUAACCUUAAUAUAUAUAUAUAUAUUGACAGACACACACAGACACACCAAAAGGUGAUUAUAUCCUCCCUAUCAUUGUCAAGCCUUCAAGAUAAUUGCUGUUUCAAUUUUUGAAUCUAAAAUUUGAGCAUCUAAUACAGAUAGAGAAAUUAAACAACAUUUAUUUCUUUUCUUUUUUUUGGUUAUGUCUAUCCCUCUUCUCUAGUUUCAUUUAUCAAGAUUUCAUAAAUCAAACUCAUGGAACCCUGUAUUUUGUUUACUUUAUAGGGCUCAACAUUUUUUUUUUUUUUGGUUAUGCCUAGGGAUGGCAACGGGGCGGGGUUGGGGCAGGGGACCCCUCCCCCAUCCCCCGCCCCCCUGCCUACAAACUCCCCCCGCCCCUGCCCCAUCCCCGUCCCCCGUCCCCCCGGCCCGCCCCGCUUCCCUCGCGGGUGCCCCCGCAGGGCUAAUAAAAAUUUGUUAUAAAAUUUUAUUAUGGUUAAAUUUUAGCAAAUAAUCAAGUACUAAAAUAUCAACACAUCAUCAAAUUAUUAUUCAUUGUAAUUUUACAAUUGAAACUUAUAAAAAAUCAAUUAUUUGAAUACAAUCCAACAUGAUGAAAUAAAUAUAACUAAAGUAGUCAAGUUUUCACUUUUGGCACAAAUACAAUCAUUAAUUCAUUAUUCUGCUUGUGCUUCUUUUAAGAAAAAAAUGUUAUUGUAUUAAGUGUAAUUAGAGAUUUAAUAUAAAUGUAUUAGUAAAUUUAGUAUAACCAAUUAAUAAUUUGUAUUAGUACACAUAUAUAAUUAUUAAUAUAAUUAAUAAUAUCAAUUAUAUUAUAUAUACUAAUAGACAUUAUAUAAUACAUAUAACUAAUAAUAUCAUUAUCAUAAGUUUGUAACUAAUUAAAUUAUAUAUUAUAUAUAUAAUUAUAUAUAUUUUUUAUAUAUUUAUUUUUUUAAAGCGGGUGGGGCGGGGGAGUGUACCCCCGCCCCCGCCCCGUUUCUAAGCGGGGAGGGGGGAGGGGAAAUUCCCCCGCCCCCUCCCAACCCCCCCCAUUAGCCCCCAGCGGGGCGGGUGACCGCAAUUGCCAUCCCUAGUUAUGCCUAUCCCACUUCUCUAGUUUCAUUUAUCAAGAUUUCAUAAAUCAAGUUCAUUGAAUCCCAUGAUUUGUUUACUUUACACGGCUCAAUAUGUUUUUUUCUUUUAACUUUGAGGUUGAUAUAGAUUAAUUCAUAGAAAAAGGAGUUUGAUGUUGUAUUUCCCAUCUGUAAGACUGUUAAAAAAUUUAAACAUUAUUUAUGGACUAAUGCAAUUUAACUUUUGCCUAGGACAUUUAGUAGUUCUGCUUUUGUUUCUCAAUGUACUCAUUUCAUUUUGAAGCAGACUUGGAAGACCUUUUUAUUUUUAUUCUUUUUUCUUUUAACGGUUUUCGUUGCCUAGGUAGGUAAUCAUAAUCUUUUUUUUUUUGGUUUAAGUUAUGGGUUUCAAAUCCCUUCUUCAAACUCUUUUGAUGCCCCAAGCAACUUAAUUUCGUAAUUACAGAUUUGAAAUCCAUUCCUUUGAAAUUUAGCCCUAAAUCCAAAUUCUUCUACCCAACUCAAGUAACUCAAUUUGGAGCAAACAAAGUCCAAUGUUGUAUCAAGGGCCCUGUAAAUUUGGCACAAACAAAAUCUUUCUAUGGAAUUAAUCCGAAAUUGUACUGCACCACAUGAACAUAAGAAAGUAGAGAGGAGUCUGAUCAGAUACCAAGGGCUCCUUAAUACCAAUGCAGGUAGAAUUACAACAUAUAUGUACUAAUAUUUAGCAUACAACUUAGAAAAUGCAGCAUAAGAACUAAACGAGAUUCCAUCCAACAUCUAGUGGCACUUUAGGCAGGACAAAGAAAUGGUUUUAAUCCAAUUUUACUUUGCUGGAUACAAAACCAUCAUCUAAACAAUAUUUCAUUUACAACAGAGGCUUACAAGGUGCUUGCAAUGGCAAUUGCAUCCGCGAUGAAUUGAGUCAAGUUUUGAAACCAUCUCUUGAGCUUCAAGGUACUAUGAAUAAGGAACAGGGACACUAAGGGAUCCAGUGUUAAGCAAUCUUGGCAGUAUCU